rnacentral:rRNA from 1 species
CACCGCCCGUCACACCAUGGGAGUCGGUUGCUCCAGAAGUGGCUGAGCUAACCCGCAAGGGAGGCAGGUCCCCAAGGAGUGUCCGAUGACUGGGGUG